CCGUUUUUGCACACGGCCGUGUGCGGAAACGGCUGUUUGCCUCUGAGCUCCCCGCAUCGUUCAGAACUCCCUUGCUGCACGAAGUGAUUUUUAGAAGAACGGCUACAGGAACGACUCUACGCAUGCUGAAAUCCAACUUACCGAGUCCUCACUCACUCGACACAUGAAAAGGAGACAGACCUACCGCAACCAUAUGCUACAGAUAGUCAGCCAAUUCGACCAACCUCUACCGAAUAGGAAGCUCCGAAAACCUUGGAGGUCAUGAACUUGGCCAAUGGACCCCGUUUAUGACCUGCUGUCAACCCUAAAAGUGAAUGGCACUUUUUCUUUCUGCACCAAGUACACUCCAAAACUCCUCAAGACGCGUUUAGUGGAAGAACAGUAUUCUUAUUCCAUCAUGCU